CCUGUAGCUUCCCCCAUAAGCCAAGUGAAUUCAUUUCCUUCUCCUACAAGUUGGCUUCCUCAACAAGCCAUUAGACUUUCCCAUUCCUCUCUUCACCGUAAGCUUCCUCAAGAAGCUAAGAGGAUUUUCCUUUCUUCCUUCUCUUACACGCCAGUUCCAAGGGAAAAGAAAACAAAAGUUUCCUCCCCACCUCUCUCCAUCUAUCGAUUUCAAGGCACCCGAAGGAAAGAAAAUCUCCUCAAGUCUCCUUCAUUCACACGAGAGGCUCUCGGUUUCCCUCUAGUCUGCAGGACCUCUUCUUCUCCUCAAGCCGAUUCUUCUAUUUCGUAAACCUAAGAGUUUCCGUCGAAAAUCUCCAAGGGAAAAUCAACCUCCUUUGAGAGUUCGGAUUUUCUCUUCCCUUUCUCAUCUGCUGUGUAUUCCAUGGCUUAAAAAGGGGAUCAAAUCAGGAGUUUAUUUUCAAGAUUCAAGGAAUUUACCUGUAAAGCCACGAGGUAUGAAUGAUGAGGCUGUGGAGAUAGGCACUGCUGAGGAGGGAAGGGCUGAUGCUUAGUAUUCCCCGUCGGUCCGGUUUAAUGAUAAUAGUUAUGUUUUAUGUUUUAUGAUGGGUCCCAUGUUAGGACGUUUUGUUGGUUUGACUUUAAGACAAUAUAUCCUUGGGCAUGAUGUAUAUAUUGUGGUGAGAUAAUAGUAAUAGCGUAACUUCUAUAGUGGGGUGAUGGUAACCCCACAUAAGAAGGUUAAACGUAUUUUGGAUAUGUUCUAGGGACGGAGUCCCCUUUUUAUUGGAACUAGUGAUGUUUUAAAUGAAUGAAUGGUGGACUCUGAGAGUCCGUUGGUAAUA